AAAGAAAGAAAGAAAGAAACAUCCCUCCUGCCCUUCCUGGUCACGCCCUCCAUCCCAGACCCAGGCAACCACCCAGAGGCUUUCUGUCCCUCUGGCUGACUUUGUCAUUUCCAGACUCCUAUAAAAAUAGAAUUGUACAAUAUGCACUCCUGUGUCUGCUUUUCUCCCUCAGUGCCAUGUUCUGAGGUCCAUCCUGCGGUAGUGUUAUCGCUGUCUGUCCUUUUUUAUUGUUACAAUGACGUGUGGAUAUAUACCAGUUCUGUCCCUCUACCUGUUGAUGGGCACGUGGGCAGUUUCCAGCUUGGAGCUGUGAUGAGCGGUGCUGCUGGGAACAUUCAUGGACAAGCCGUGUCUGGACAUAGCUUUCAUUUCUCCCGGUUUACAGGUAUUUCAGGAGAAAAAGCAUCUAGAGGUGGAAGAUUGGAAAUGUAACUAACAAUGGUUUAAAGAUGCCUUUGUGACAACCCUCCCUUCAUGUCCUUUGAUGUUUGUUGGAUCAAACUGGAAGGGAUGCAGGAGGUCGUGAAGCCAACUGUAGGUACACCCACAGCACCCGGGAGCUCUGCCCUGGCCUCCCGAUUUUCAGCCUGCGCAAAGAUGACUAAUUUAGCAAAUAUUUUUAAAAGACGGCUCGCAAGUUGGAAUGUAAAUUGAUAGGCGGCUUUUUAAAGCAAUUGGGAAAUACUUGCCGAGAGUAGAAAUGCCUGUGCUUCUGCACAGGAGACCCACGUGUAGGAGCCGCUAAGAACACCGUGUGGAUGAACGUAUAUACACAAGCAUGUCCUUUGGCAUCUGUAACGCAAGGAAAAACUAGAACCAGGUGCCCACCAUCUAGGAGAACCAUUCAGUCAACUCUGGUGUGCAGAUCAGAUAGAAUUUGAGGCCGCUUUCAGAAGUGAUUCUUUUUAUAAAUUCCAGCAAACGAUGGACAGCAAACAAGGAUUACCCAUGAUACUCUGGGCGGUAGGGCUGGCUGGGAUUCUUGUUUCUUUCUAUCUAAAAAAA